GGCCAGCAGCCGCCGCUCUGUUCCUCUCUCCUUCUUGCUGGUGCACUGGUGCAGUAGAUGGAGCGCAGGGCCGGGGCUGAUUCUCACGAAGGCAAGCAUCCUCUCCAGUCUAGUCCCUAGAGAGAAAAAGGCCUGUGCCCAGCAGGCCAGCUCCCUGCACCCCACCAUGCCUCUGCUGGAUGUUUUCUGGGCUUGCUUCAGGGAAGUGAAGUGCUUCCCAUUGCUGCAGAGGAGGAAGAAUACCGAUUUCAGCACGGGUUACCUGAGGACACCACAUGGAGGAGAAAUUACAGAAGUUCCUCCCAGAGAACCUUGGGACUUCUCUGGAAAUCCCUUCUUCUGACCUAAUCUCUUGAGCAACUCAGGCCCCAUGAGAGCUCUGGAAGAUUGAAUCUUCCAGAGGCAAAAACUGGAGGGCAAAGCCUGAGGGAGGGGCCCUGAGUCGCUUGCCCUCCCUGGAUAGGCCUCAAGAUCUUCAUCUGGACCACGAAGGAGUGGAGCAGAUGUGCUCUGCGGGCCCACCAGCUCCAGGCUAGUCUUCUGUGGAAGUCCCCCCCCCCCGCCCCAGACUUGGCUGCUCCCUCAUGCGCUGGUCUAGAAUCUCCAGGGAACCCACCAGGCAGUAAAUGCAUAAAUAAAUCUUGCUCCCUGCCACGGUUUGCUGGCCCUUUGGACCAGUCAUAAGAAGGCAUGGAUGCAGGAGGCAGAUUAACGAUCCCUGACUCGCAGACUACUCCUCUGACAUAAACGCAAGGCCAGCUGCUAAAUGGACAGAGCCCUCAACCCCUGAGCCAUAGUGCAAGAUAAGCAUUACCAUGGGGCUGGUGGUGCACCCUGCCAGAGGAUGGGAAGAGGAGGAGAGGACUCUGUGAGUUUUGACCAGGAUAAAGGUGUAGGUACUAAGGCUGGGGAGUGGGGGUGGGGGGAUGGCCAGGGGUGGACCCAGAUAAAGGCAGAAAGAAUUGUUGAAGUUUCAAAUCUGCAGCCUACAUGAUUCAAGGGCAGGAAGAAAGACACGAAGCAGGGUGAAGGGCUAAGGGGCAAUCCUGUCACUCAUAAAGACAUAUCACUGACACUUGCACUUUUGAUCCCCAUAACAUUUUAGGGAGGUAGGUGUUAUUGUCUCCAUAUAACAAGUGAGGAAACUGAGGCCCAGAGAGGUGAUAUAACAUGUCAUCAAGUGUUCAGGCUGGCAUUCAGGGGAGCCCAGGGGUCUCAGUUGGUUAAGCUUCUGCUGUUGGCUCAGAUCAUGAUCCCGGGGUCCUGGGCUUGAGCCCUGUGUGCAUCAGCCUCUUUGCUCACCUAAGAGUCUGCUUCUUCCUCUCCUUCUGCCUCUCCCCCUGCUCAUGCACUUUCUCUCUCUUUCUCUCCCUCCC